ensembl:lncRNA
GGGGAGAUAACUUGAAGAUGUCAGAGCACUGAGGUUAAGUGGAAGAGCAGGUACACACAGCCCUCCCUCUUCAGGCUUCCUGCUCUGCCGUGUUCUUUUUCGUUUAUUAUUAACGUGCAGUUGGUUUACAGUGUUGUAUUAAUUUCUGCUGCACAGAAAAGUAAUUCAGUUAUACAUAUACGUACAUUUUUCCAUAUUCUCUUCCAUUACAGUUUAUCACAGGAUGUUGAGUGUUUCCUGUGCUCAACAACAAGACCUUGUUUUGUGUCUCCUCUGUGUAUAAUGUUUUGGCAUCUACUCAUCCCAAACCCCCAAUUCAUCCUUCUCCCAUCCCACUGCCCCUGGCAGCCAUGAGUCUGUUCUCCUUAUGAGUGUGCUUCUGUCUCGUACAUAAGUUCUUUUGUGUUGUAUUUUACAUUUGCCAGAUAAGUGAUAUCAGAGGGUACUUGUCUUUCUCUCUCUGACUUCUUCACUUACUAUGAUAAUCUCUAGGCCCAUCCAUGUGGUGGCUAAAAUGAUGGCUGCAUUCUUUUGUAUGGCUGUGUCGUAUUCCAUUGUGGGCGUCUGCCACAUCUUUAUCCUUUCGUCCAUCAGUGGACAUUUGGGUUGUUCGCAUGUCUUGGCUGUUGUGAGCAGUACUGCUGUGAACGUAGGGUAUGUGGUUCUGCCAUCUUCUAUAAACAUCCAAAGUGCUCUGAGUACAGCAGAGCAGGACGUUUGAUGACCACUCUGUGGUUAGACAUGGGGAGUCCUUGCCAGUGUGAUGUUCCUCUCCUUUGCAUUUUAACGACGUGUUCUUUUCUCUGUGGCAAAGCUCAUCCACCAACAGAAACUUUUGGAGAAAAUUGCUCAGACUCAUUUAUCAUAAUGAUCUUUACUCUUUUAAUCUUACGCAUAUAUGUGUAGAUUUACGUAAUCACGAAACAUUAUUUUGUAUUGUGCUGUUGGAAUUGUGCUCUGAGUCUUUGCAAUUAUCAUAAUACUUUGUAAUAUUCCUUUCUUAC